rnacentral:tRNA from 1 species
UGCAUUGCCGGGAAUCGAACUCGGGCCGCCCGCGUGGCAGGUGAGCAUUCUACCACUGUACCACC